rnacentral:rRNA from 1 species
UCCCUUAGUAGCGGCGAGCGAACAGGGAAAAGCCCAGCACUGAAUCCCGCGGCCGUCUCGGUCGCCGGGAAAUGUAGUGUUAGGGAGGAUCCGCUAUCCCGAGGUCGCGCGGCGCGUCCAAGUCCUUCUUGAACGGGGCCACUUACCCAUAGAGGGUGCCAGGCCCGUAGGGACUGCCGCCGGCAGCGGGAGGAUCUCUCCUCAGAGUCGGGUUGCUUGAGAGUGCAGCCCUAAGUGGGUGGUAAACUCCAUCUAAGGCUAAAUAUAACCACGAGACCGAUAGCGAACAAGUACCGUGAGGGAAAGUUGAAAAGAACUUUGAAGAGAGAGUUCAAUAGUACGUGAAACCGUUCAGGGGUAAACCUGAGAAACCCGAAAGGUCGAAAGGGGAGAUUCAGCGCGUCUCGCCCGCUUGCGAGCGGCGGUCGUGCGACGGCCGGCCCUCGGGCCGGUCGCGCCUUCCGUCGCCGACUCGCGUCGAACGCGUGCACUUCUCCUCUAGUAGGACGUCGCGACCCGUUGGGCGCCGGUCUAAGGGCCGCGGUGGGAGGCCGGGCGGCGCUUAACGCGUCCGCCCGGACCCGCGGUUCCCGGCCGGCCAGUCCGACGGUACGACACGGCAAAGAAGGGGCCGCGAUAAAAGAUCGCGUCCGGCCCGUCGCAAGUGCUCCGGACGGUGUUCCGUGGACGUCGGACCUAGUGCCGACCCCGGACCCGGCCUGCUGCUGGCGUCGGUGUCCUCGGACAGACCCCGCAGUUGAAAAGCAAAAGCCUGUCGGCGACGCUAUAGCUUUGGGUACUUUCAGGACCCGUCUUGAAACACGGACCAAGGAGUCUAGCAUGUGCGCGAGUCAAUGGGACCUAACGAAACCCAAAGGCGAAAUGAAAGUAAAGGACGCCAUUGCGCGUGCCUAGGGGGGAUGUGCCGGUCAAAGUACCGGCGCCGCACUCCCGGGGCGUCUCGUGCUCAUUGCGAGCUGAGGCGCACCCUGAGCGUACACGCUGGGACCCGAAAGAUGGUGAACUA